CACUUAGCAAAAUUUCGCUGUUACUUUCCGUUAGCAAAAAUAUUUUUUUACUGUUCAGUUAGCAAAAAGCUACAUUUACUUGAUUUUAGUAAUAAAAAAGGUCAUUUUACUAGAUUUUAGUAAAACGAAGGUUUUUCAGCCGCUUUGUUCACAGACAGCAGCCGCCGCGCCAGUUGGGAGAAAAACAAAAAGCUGUCGCGAUUAAGUGCGGUUCCGGAUGUUCGUUGGUGGUGUUUCUUGUGGUGGCCUACUCCGCGAGUAAAUGAUAUCUGAAUCGACACCGGAUGCUUACAGGUUAAAACUGCAACACGAAACCCGCAACACUCCGGCAAUAAAGAAGGACCACAACUGGAAACAAGCUGCAUCCGGCAAACACCCCGGUGCUUUCUUUAAUGAAGAUGGCAUGGGAUUUCGCUAGCCAGUAGGUGCGUUCCCAGGAUCGGAAUUUCCGUUUUACAAAAAGUGUGAUUUUUUUUUAAUGUUAAAAAUAAAUUAUAAGUGAAUGAAA